GACGAACGCUGGCGGCGUGCUUAACACAUGCAAGUCGAACGGAAAGGCCCUGCUUUUGUGGGGUGCUCGAGUGGCGAACGGGUGAGUAACACGUGAGUAACCUGCCCUUGACUUUGGGAUAACUUCAGGAAACUGGGGCUAAUACCGGAUAGGAGCUCCUGCUGCAUGGGGGGGGUUGGAAAGUUUCGGCGGUUGGGGAUGGACUCGCGGCUUAUCAGCUUGUUGGUGGGGUAGUGGCUUACCAAGGCUUUGGCGGGUAGCCGGCCUGGGAGGGUGACCGGCCACAUUGGGACUGAGAUACGCCCCAGACUCCUACGGGAGGCAGCAGCGGGGAGUAUUGCACAAUGGGCGGAAGCCUGAUGCAGCAACGCCGCGUGCGGGAUGACGGCCUUCGGGUUGUAAACCGCUUUCGCCUGUGACGAAGCGUGAGUGACGGUAAUGGGUAAAGAAGCACCGGCUAACUACGUG
rnacentral:rRNA from 1 species